UGCCAGACUCCUACGGGAGGCAGCAGUGGGGAAUAUUGCACAAUGGGGGGAACCCUGAUGCAGCGACGCCGCGUGGGUGAAGGGGUAUUUCGGUAUGUAAAGCCCUAUCAGCAGGGAAGAACAAUGACGGUACCUGACUAAGAAGCACCGGCUAAAUACGUGCCAGCAGCCGCGGUAAUACGUAUGGUGCAAGCGUUAUCCGGAUUUACUGGGUGUAAAGGGAGCGUAGACGGCGACGCAAGUCUGGAGUGAAAGCCCGGGGCCCAACCCCGGGACUGCUCUGGAAACUGCGGCGCUGGAGUACGGGAGGGGCAGGCGGAAUUCCUGGUGUAGCGGUGAAAUGCGUAGAUAUCAGGAGGAACACCGGCGGCGAAGGCGGCCUGCUGGACCGUGACUGACGUUGAGGCUCGAGAGCGUGGGGAGCAAACAGGAUUAGAUACCCCUGUAAG
rnacentral:rRNA from 1 species